rnacentral:rRNA from 1 species
CUCUGAGACAGGUGCUGCAUGGCUGUCGUCAGCUCGUGUUGUGAAAUGUUGGGUUAAGUCCCGCAACGAGCGCAACCCUUAUCCUUGUUUGCCAGCGAGUAAUGUCGGGAACUCCAGGGAGACUGCCGGUGAUAAACCGGAGGAAGGUGGGGACGACGUCAAGUCAUCAUGGCCCUUACGAGUAGGGCUACACACGUGCUACAAUGGCGCAUACAGAGGGCAGCCAACUUGCGAAAGUGAGCGAAUCCCAAAAAGUGCGUCGUAGUCCGGAUUGGAGUCUGCAACUCGACUCCAUGAAGUCGGAAUCGCUAGUAAUCGUGGAUCAGAAUGCCACGGUGAAUACGUUCCCGGGCCUUGUACACACCGCCCGUCACACCAUGGGAGUGGGCUGCAAAAGAAGUAGGUAGUUUAACCUUCGGGGGGACGCUUACCACUUUGUGGUUCAUGACUGGGGUGAAGUCGUAACAAGGUAGCGCUAGGGGAACCUGGCGCUGGAU